ensembl:lncRNA
CAAAAUAUUGUCAAUUCAAUAUGUAACCAAUGUCAAAAAUUAUUAAUGAGAUCAUUUACAUGCUUUUGCUCAUACCAAGUCUUCGAGAUCCAGGGUCAGGGCUGCAUUCGCAGCUCAUCUCAAUUUGGACCAGCUGCAUUUCACACGCUUGCUGGUCUGUGUGGCUCGUGGUCACCACGUUGGAUGCGCUACUGGGCCCUGAAGGGCCACCUUGGCUUGGCAGGGGACGAGACACUGACUUGGCCCGUAACCCUGUGGUUGAGUUGGAGGUGCUUCCUACCACGGUGGCUGCUGCCCGUUUGGCUCCAGGAGACAUGAAAUCAGUGCUUGUCAAAGGCUGGCUCAGAGAUCAUCCGCUUUAGCAUCUCCUGGGCAGCUGCUUAAACAAAACCCCAGAUUCCUGGGCCCUACCCCACCGGAAUCCCUGGGAGUCAGGAAUCUGCAUUUUCAAUAGGCUCCUCAAGUGGUUUUGGGGUCUGGCCUCCCCUCUCCUUUCCAGGGCAGAGAAUGCAUUGCUUUGGAGUUCACAAUGGCACAUCUUCCUUUUCUCUCGCGUCUCCUUUUGGAUGAAUUGUCUGGAACAAGAGUGAGUAUUAGAAUUAUGAGGCAGUCAUGGCUCAGUUGCCAAUUUCCCGUCUUUUCCUUAGAUUCCCUUCACCUGGGGUUUAAGCUUGGCCGUGGUCCGUCACUUCCUCCAACAGCAAUGUUCUCCCCAGACACGGACGUGGUGUAGGCACACACCACAUUUCCCACAGCACCUGAGGAGGCCAAGCUUCUCUCCAGCAGAACACCAGCCACGUCCACGCGUGUUCCAAUCCUGGACCCCGGGGAUGUCCCCUCACCCUGCCCUUACUCCCCGACCCGGGGGAGCCAGAUGGAGGAUUUUCUACUUAUCUAGUCCCCUCUCUGAUUUCUCUUUCCCCUCCAUAGAACUCUCUGCCAUAAAAGCAUUUGUGGGUGCAGGCAGAAGGACAAGAGCUGGAUGUGCUAUAAAGGCAAAGCUGAUAGAAAUCAAGACAUUUCAUAUUUAAAAAUAGUGGCUCCAUAUUCAGGACGUCGUGGGUCUUUGAUAUGAUAUGUUAAGCUAUUUAUCCGCAAAGGACUCUAAGUACAGUAUGUUUUCUAUUUCUUCCAACACCCUGAGGGGGUGCCACUAUAGUUCAUAUUACAGAGGAGGAAAGUGAAGCGCAGAGAGGUUUAGUAACUUGCUCAAGGUCAUACAGCAAGCAAGUAGUGGAAACAGGCCUAGAGCCCACAGAGAUGGGAGAGAAAAGAACAAUGAGCCGAGUCGUGAAACAGGGGUCCUAUUGCACUCCCAUUUGAAACUACUAAUCAUUGGCUUAGCAUAAACCUUUUAUUUUUUCUGAACUUCAUUUCUUUCCUUGAAAGCGUGAUAGUUGAGCUAAACGAACUUGAUCGUCUCCUUUUUGAAUAUUCACUUCCCCACUUGUAGGUCGGGUUUCCUGGAAAAUGGACUUCAGAACCCUGAGCUUUUCAUGCAAAGUAUUUAUUGGGGAGCACUCUUGAACAAAACCCGGCAAGGAUGAGAGAAGCAAGAUUCAUGCACUUCAUCUAGUGGGUUCGCCCCCAUGUAGAAGCAGAUGCCCCAGGAUUAUGGUUGAUCCACUUUCCUAAGGGAGCUUACAAGAGGAAGAGAGCCAGUGGACGGAACUGUAUCACCCGCCACAGCAGUCUUGAGUCUGCAAGAUGUACUCAUCAUCUCACUCUUAUAGUACGUGUUCAUAGGAUCCUCAUCCUUGGCUAGCACCUCUGCUGGUCUGUGGCUUACUGGUGUGGGACUCAGACCUCCGUCCCUGAGGGAUCUGAGCCCUUAGUACCAUGACAUCCUCAAGCCAUGGCUGCUACACUUGUCUCUUUCUUGUCAAAUUUGGGCUGGAGAGUGAUGAGAGACUACUGUAUCAUGUGGGGGCCAAAUCUGUUUCUUGCCCUCGUUGUAUAACAGCAACCAUACCUCCUCCUGAAGAUCAAGGUCAAUUACACCUGCAAUUCUGGUGGUUCCUUCCUGGAUUCCUGGACUCCUGACACAGGGAACCUAAAGUUACCAGGAUUCAGACACAGCUUGAAGUUUAUUGGGACCCUGGCUAUGUUCCUAGUGAGCCCCUUCUGAGAGUCAGGACUUCUAGAUAUGUAAAGCCUAGAGUUUCAAGAAUGCAAAGCACAGAUUCCCCAAGUGGAUCUUUGGGAAUAAUGGUGAGCAAGAUCAUGCCUAUUUCAACCUCUUGGUUCUUGGACUCUGUAUUCUACUUAGCAAGUUCAGAACGUCUCACGUGAUUAUCACGUACACUGGACCUAGAGGAUGGUGUCGCAUUCUCACAGGGCAUCUUCUCCAAGAUGGUGGCCAAGACUUGUCAUUCCAUUGCCCUACCAGGCUGAAGCUUCUAUUGGUGUGAUAUGUCACAGGGCCACUGGAUUCCUGACACAGCUCCUUUGUCAUUCCUCCUUGGGCUGAAUCAACGUUAUGUGAUAUCUCAUGUCAGUGGAUCAAAUACUCUGUAAGCCUUUGGAUAGUGAUGCUGCCUGAGACUCUGCAGGCAAGAGAGACAAACCAGUACUCGGAAUAUUUAUUUCUUCCUGUAAAGAUGAAUCUUUACCCCUUCAAGAAUGGAAAUGGCCCACUGUAAUCACCUUGCCACCACGUAGACAGUUGUUCACCUUGAGAGUUGGUGCCUUUUUCGAUGGCUCAGCAGUGGUGUCCAUUGGAGGUACAGCAGCGGCAAAAGUGAAUCAGCUUUGGUGAGCGGGAACCUCGUUAGGGGCCCCAUGCAUCACCUCCUUCUCUGAAUACACUGGUCAUGACCCCAUUGUGCUAGAUCUGAGG